AUUGAACGCUGGCGGCAGGCCUAACACAUGCAAGUCGAGCGGAGCGGCGGACGGGUGGGUAAUGCCUAGGAAUCUGCCUGGUAGUGGGGGAUGGCGUCCGGAAACGGGCGCUAAUACCUCAUACUAGCAGAUGAGCCUAGCGAGGAUUAGCUAGUUGGUGGGGUAAAGGCCUACCAAGGCGACGAUCCGUAACUGGUCUGAGAGGAUGAUCAGUCACACUGGAACUGAGACACGGUCCAGACUCCUACGGGAGGCAGCAGUGGGGAAUAUUGGACAAUGGGCGAAAGCCUGAUGCAGCCAUGCCGCGUGUGUGAAGAAGGUCUUCGGAUUGUAAAGCACUUUAAGGGGGGAGGCGUUACCAACAGAAUAAGCACCGGCUAACUUCGUGCCAGCAGCCGCGGUAAUAC
rnacentral:rRNA from 1 species